AAAGUUUACUAGGGGAGCCAAAAGGCUGAGAAGUUAAAAAACUGACCCUUCGAACCUGAUCUAGUUAAUUCUAGCGUAGGGAAGUAGCAAAAUACAAUA
rfam:Cetobacterium somerae ATCC BAA-474 genomic scaffold Scaffold7, whole genome shotgun sequence.